rnacentral:rRNA from 1 species
GUCCAGGACCACAUCACCCUAAAUGCGUCCCAUCUGUCUGACCUUGGAAGCUAAACAGGGUAGAGCCUGGUUAGUACUUGGAUGGGAAACCACCUGGGAAUACUGGGUGCUGUAGGCU